rnacentral:rRNA from 1 species
GGGUUGUGAGGUUAAGCGACUAAGCGUACACGGUGGAUGCCCUGGCAGUCAGAGGCGAUGAAGGACGUGCUAAUCUGCGAAAAGCGUCGGUAAGGUGAUAUGAACCGUUAUAACCGGCGAUGUCCGAAUGGGGAAACCCAGUGCAAUUCGUUGCACUAUCGUUAACUGAAUACAUAGGUUAACGAGGCGAACCGGGGGAACUGAAACAUCUAAGUACCCCGAGGAAAAGAAAUCAACCGAGAUUCCCCCAGUAGCGGCGAGCGAACGGGGAGCAGCCCAGAGUCUGAAUCAGCUUGUGUGUUAGUGGAACGGUCUGGAAAGUCCGACGGUACAGGGUGAUAGUCCCGUACACCAAAAUGCACAGGCUGUGAACUCGAAGAGUAGGGCGGGACACGUGGUAUCCUGUCUGAAUAUGGGGGGACCAUCCUCCAAGGCUAAAUACUCCUGACUGACCGAUAGUGAACCAGUACCGUGAGGGAAAGGCGAAAAGAACCCCGGCGAGGGGAGUGAAAAAAACCUGAAACCGUGUACGUACAAGCAGUGGGAGCACCUUCGGGUGUGACUGCGUACCUUUGUAUAAUGGGUCAGCGACUUAUAUUCUGUAGCAAGGUUAACCGUAUAGGGGAGCCGCAGGGAAACCGAGUCUUAACUGGGCGUUAAGUUGCAGGGUAUAGACCCGAAACCCGGUGAUCUAGCCAUGGGCAGGUUGAAGGUUGGGUAACACUAACUGGAGGACCGAACCGACUAAUGUUGAAAAAUUAGCGGAUGACUUGUGGCUGGGGGUGAAAGGCCAAUCAAACCGGGAGAUAGCUGGUUCUCCCCGAAAGCUAUUUAGGUAGCGCCUCGUGAACUCAUCUUCGGGGGUAGAGCACUGUUUCGGCUAGGGGGUCAUCCCGACUUACCAACCCGAUGCAAACUACGAAUACCGAAGAAUGUUAUCACGGGAGACACACGGCGGGUGCUAACGUCCGUCGUGAAGAGGGAAACAACCCAGACCGCCAGCUAAGGUCCCAAAGUCAUGGUUAAGUGGGAAACGAUGUGGGAAGGCACAGACAGCCAGGAUGUUGGCUUAGAAGCAGCCAUCAUUUAAAGAAAGCGUAAUAGCUCACUGGUCGAGUCGGCCUGCGCGGAAGAUGUAACGGGGCUAAACCAUGCACCGAAGCUGCGGCAGCGACACUAUGUGUUGUUGGGUAGGGGAGCGUUCUGUAAGCCUGCGAAGGUGACCUGUGAGGGUUGCUGGAGGUAUCAGAAGUGCGAAUGCUGACAUAAGUAACGAUAAAGCGGGUGAAAAGCCCGCUCGCCGGAAGACCAAGGGUUCCUGUCCAACGUUAAUCGGGGCAGGGUGAGUCGACCCCUAAGGCGAGGCCGAAAGGCGUAGUCGAUGGGAAACAGGUUAAUAUUCCUGUACUUGGUGUUACUGCGAAGGGGGGACGGAGAAGGCUAUGUUAGCCGGGCGACGGUUGUCCCGGUUUAAGCAUGUAGGCUGGUUGUCCAGGCAAAUCCGGAUAAUCAAGGCUGAGGUGUGAUGACGAGGCACUACGGUGCUGAAGUAACAAAUGCCCUGCUUCCAGGAAAAGCCUCUAAGCAUCAGGUAACAUCAAAUCGUACCCCAAACCGACACAGGUGGUCAGGUAGAGAAUACCAAGGCGCUUGAGAGAACUCGGGUGAAGGAACUAGGCAAAAUGGUGCCGUAACUUCGGGAGAAGGCACGCUGGUGUGUAGGUGAAGUCCCUGCGGAUGGAGCUGAGACCAGUCGAAGAUACCAGCUGGCUGCAACUGUUUAUUAAAAAACACAGCACUGUGCAAACACGAAAGUGGACGUAUACGGUGUGACGCCUGCCCGGUGCCGGAAGGUUAAUUGAUGGGGUUAUCCGUAAGGAGAAGCUCUUGAUCGAAGCCCCGGUAAACGGCGGCCGUAACUAUAACGGUCCUAAGGUAGCGAAAUUCCUUGUCGGGUAAGUUCCGACCUGCACGAAUGGCGUAAUGAUGGCCAGGCUGUCUCCACCCGAGACUCAGUGAAAUUGAACUCGCUGUGAAGAUGCAGUGUACCCGCGGCAAGACGGAAAGACCCCGUGAACCUUUACUAUAGCUUGACACUGAACAUUGAGCCUUGAUGUGUAGGAUAGGUGGGAGGCUUUGAAGCGUGGACGCCAGUCUGCGUGGAGCCAACCUUGAAAUACCACCCUUUAAUGUUUGAUGUUCUAACGUUGGCCCCUUACCGGGGUUGCGGACAGUGUCUGGUGGGUAGUUUGACUGGGGCGGUCUCCUCCCAAAGCGUAACGGAGGAGCACGAAGGUUAGCUAAUCCUGGUCGGACAUCAGGAGGUUAGUGCAAUGGCAUAAGCUAGCUUGACUGCGAGCGUGACGGCGCGAGCAGGUGCGAAAGCAGGUCAUAGUGAUCCGGUGGUUCUGAAUGGAAGGGCCAUCGCUCAACGGAUAAAAGGUACUCCGGGGAUAACAGGCUGAUACCGCCCAAGAGUUCAUAUCGACGGCGGUGUUUGGCACCUCGAUGUCGGCUCAUCACAUCCUGGGGCUGAAGUAGGUCCCAAGGGUAUGGCUGUUCGCCAUUUAAAGUGGUACGCGAGCUGGGUUUAGAACGUCGUGAGACAGUUCGGUCCCUAUCUGCCGUGGGCGCUGGAGAAUUGAGGGGGGGCUGCUCCUAGUACGAGAGGACCGGAGUGACGCAUCACUGGUGUUCGGGUUGUCAUGCCAAUGGCACUGCCCGGUAGCUAAAUGCGGAAGAGAUAAGUGCUGAAAGCAUCUAAGCACGAAACUUGCCCCGAGAUGAGUUCUCCCUGAGACUUUAAGUCUCCUGAAGGAACGUUAAAGACGAUGACGUUGAUAGGCCGGGUGUGUAAGCGCAGCGAUGCGUUGAGCUAACCGGUACUAAUGAACCGUGAGGCUUAACCUUACAACGCCGAAG